UACGUAGGGUGCGAGCGUUAAUCGGAAUUACUGGGCGUAAAGCGUGCGCAGGCGGUUCGUUGUGUCCGUCGUGAAAGCCCCGGGCUUAACCCUGGGGAACUGCGAUGGAAACUAGCGAGCUGGAGUGUGGCAGAGGGGGGUGGAAUUCCGCGUGUAGCAGUGAAAUGCGUAGAGAUGCGGAGGAACACCGAUGGCGAAGGCAGCCCCCCUGGGCUAACACUGACGCUCAUGCACGAAAGCGUGGGGAGCAAACAGG
rnacentral:rRNA from 1 species